rnacentral:rRNA from 1 species
GUUGGAUAACUGAGGUAAUUCUUGAGCUAAUACACGCUAUUUAUACCACAUUAGUGGUGCGUUUAUUUGAUUAAACCAUUUUUAUAUUGGUUGACUCAAAAUAUCCUCGCUGAUUUUGUUACUAAAACAUACCGUAUGUGUAUCUGGUUUAUCAACUUUCGAUGGUAGGGUAUUGGCCUACCAUGGUUGUGACGGAUAACGGAGAAUUAGGGUUCGACUCCGGAGAGGGAGCCUGAGAAACGGCUACCACAUCCAAGGAAGGCAGCAGGCGCGAAAAUUACCCAAUUUUAGUUAAAAGAGGUAGUGACGAAAAAUGACAACCAAAUAUUAUUAUUAAUAUUUGGAUUGAAAAUCUUCAAGUAUAAAUAACUUGUUGGUAAAGGAAAGGGCAAGUCUGGUGCCAGCAGCCGCGGUAAUACCAGCUUUCCAAGUGCAUAAAAUGAUUGUUGUGGUUAAAAAGCUCGUAGUUGGAUUAUAAAGAUUGUAUAAUGAGCAUCUUGGAUGUUAUUUAAUCAUUAUCAUCUUAUAUUUUUAUUAUAUUAGAAAUAAUAUAAUAACUGUUACUUUGAAUAAAUCAGAGGGUUUAAACCAGACAUUAUAUGUUUGUAUGGUCUAGCAUGGAAUAACACUAUAGAAAAAUUUAGUGUGGUUUCACUUAAUUUUUCAUGAUUAAUAGGAACAAACGGGGGCAUUCGUAUCGCUACGUUAGAGGUGAAAUUCUUGGACCGUAGCGAGACGUCCUACUGCGAAAGCAUUUGCCAAGAAUGUUUCAUAAUCAAGAACGAAAGUUAGAGGUUCGAAGGCGAUCAGAUACCGCCCUAGUUCUAACCGUAAACUAUGCCUACUAGAUGUAUGAAUUAUUAGUUAUAAUAAUUUAUGCAUCUUCUCGGAAACGAAAGUCUUUCGGUUCCGGGGGAAGUAUGGUUGCAAAGCUGAAACUUAAAGGAAUUGACGGAAGGGCACCACCAGGAGUGGAGCCUGCGGCUUAAUUUGACUCAACACGGGAAAACUCACCCGGGCCGGACACUAUAAGGAUUGACAGAUUGAUAGCUCUUUCAUGAUUUAGUGGUUGGUGGUGCAUGGCCGUUCUUAGUUCGUGGAUAUGAUUUGUCUGGUUGAUUCCGAUAACGAGCGAGACUUUUAUGUUAUAUUAAAUAUUAUUAUUUUGUUUAUUUUAAUAUAAAUAAUUAAUAUUUUAAUAACAGAUUAAUAGUGUUUAACUAUUUGAGAGAGAGCGAUAACAGGUCUGUGA